GGACACUUACAUGUUUCCUUAUACAGUUUACAGUUACAUAGGACUAUUCCAUGAAUAGGAAGAUUCCAUGUCCUGAGCAUACACCAUGUUUAUUUAUAUGCAUGGCUCCUAUGCAGACCUCUGUGUCUCCACGGUAACAGACUACAAACAAAUUUAGUGUAGUACCAAGGCCCAGUAAAAACAGUACCUCUAAAGCCAGGGAUUACAGAAAACAACUUGUUAUUCACUUUUGAUACAGAUGCAAUACAGCUGAUAGGUGGCAGGGAGAGUGGGAGCUGAGCCAGCAAAGUUCCACUUGGCAGUAGGCACUGAAAAUCCAAUGCCAAGAGCAAAGGGUGCUAGGCCAUCAGAAAGGAGACAAUGGAACAGCUGUGAACGAAGACUUGAACUGAAAACGGCUUCUUUUCCUAUUCAAUUACUUAGCCAGACUCCAGCUCGACGGUCUACCAAUACCAAUGCAUUCUGUAAGGCUUCUUCAUGGUGAAUUAAGAUAAGUCACUUCUUGAAGCACUGCGAAAAAUGUACAGUACCUGUGCUUCAGUGCUUGUACCAUAAUAAGCCUCUCAGGACCACACAAAGUACCAUCAGGAACAACUAUAGUGGAAUGCAUAAAUGCUUUAGGGUU